CAAUAGCGUAUAUUAAAGUUGUUGCAGUUAAAAAGCUCGUAGUUGGAUUUGUGGUUCGUCCCGCCGGCUGGGUCAUUGACCUUUGCUGUGCUGGUCGUCCAUCCUUGGGUGGAAUCUGUGUGGCAUUAGGUUGUCGUGCAGGGGAUGCCCAUCGUUUACUGUGAAAAAAUUAGAGUGUUCAAAGCAGGCUUAUGCCGUUGAAUAUAUUAGCAUGGAAUAAUGAUAUAGGACCUUGGUACUAUUUUGUUGGUUUGCGCACUGAGGUAAUGAUUAAUAGGGACAGUUGGGGGUAUUCGUAUUCCAUUGUAAGAGGUGAAAUUCUUGGAUUUUUGGAAGACGAACUACUGCGAAAGCAUUUACCAAGGAUGUUUUCAUUAA
rnacentral:rRNA from 1 species